rnacentral:rRNA from 1 species
CAGUGGGGAAUAUUGUACAAGUGGCGCAAGCGUGAUCCAUCAAUCCCGCGUGUGUGACGAAGGCCUUCAGGUUGUAAAGCACUUUUAUCGUGAGCGAAAUACCAUUGGCUAAUACCCGGUGGGGCUGACGGUACCCGAGGAAUAAGCACCGGCUAACUUCGUGCCAGCACCCGCGGUAAUAUGAAGGGUGCAAGCGUUAUUUGGAAUUACUGGGCGUAAAGGGUGCGUAGGCGGUUGGUUAACUCUGUUGUGAAAUCUCCGGGCUCAACCUGGGAAUGGCACUGGAUACUGGCCAGCUAGAGUGUGUCAGAGGAUGGUGGAAUUUCCGGUGUAGCGGUGAAAUGCUUAGAGAUCGGAAGGAACAUCAGUGGCGAAGGCGGCCAUCUGGGACAACACUGACGCUGAAGCACGAAAGCGUGGGGAGCAAACACGGAUUAGAUAUCCCUGGUAGUCCCCGCCCUAAACGAUGCGAACUGGAUGUUGGUCUCAACUAGGAGAUCAGUGUCGAAGCUAACGCGUAAGUCUCCCUGGACUCGACGUUU